rnacentral:tRNA from 1 species
GCCAACUUAGCUCAUCUGGUAGAGCAGCGCACUCGUAACGCGCAGGUGUUCGGUUCAAGCCCGGAAGUUGGCU